rnacentral:rRNA from 1 species
UGAGCAAUCUGCCCUUCUCUUCGGAAUAAGCGUUGGAAACGACGUCUAAUGCCGAAUACGACCUCCUUUCGCAUGAUCGGAGGUGGAAAGCUCCGGCGGAGAAGGAUGAGCUCGCGGCCUAUCAGCUAGUUGGUGUGGGUAACGCCCACAAGGCGACGACGGGUAGCCGGCCUGAGAGGGUGACCGGCCACAUUGGAACUGAGACACGGUCCAGACUCCGUACGGGNGCAGCAGG